rnacentral:piRNA from 1 species
UGGUUUUGAACGUAUCUCGUGCCCUAGAGU